UACGAAGGGGGCUAGCGUUGCUCGGAAUUACUGGGCGUAAAGGGAGCGUAGGCGGACAUUUAAGUCAGAGGUGAAAUCCCGGAGCUUAACUUCGGAACUGCCUUUGAUACUGGGUGUCUUGGGUGUGAGAGAGGUAUGUGGAACUCCGAGUGUAGAGGUGAAAUUCGUAGAUAUUCGGAAGAACACCAGUGGCGAAGGCGACAUACUGGCUCAUUACUGACGCUGAGGCUCGAAAGCGUGGGGAGCAAACAGG
rnacentral:rRNA from 1 species